CAUGGAGGGUGAGAAUCCCGUUCGGUUGACCUUAUGACGCUCUACGAUACGCUCUCUAAGAGUCGAGUUGUUUGGGAUUGCAGCUCAAAAUGGGAGGUAAAUUUCUCCUAAGGCUAAAUAUCGGCGAGAGACCGAUAGCGAACAAGUACCGUGAGGGAAAGAUGAAAAGAACUUUGAAAAGAGAGUAAAAUAGUACGUGAAAUUGUUGAAAGGGAAACGAUUGAAGUCAGUCGUACCGACGAGAAAUCAACUUAUCGUGUGCGAACUUGUGGGCGUGCGUGAGUUUCGGCCUCGCUGUUUGCAUGUUUGUGCGUUUUGGGUGUACUUUUUCGUAUGGUAGGCCAACGUCAGUUUCGAUUAUCAUAAAAUGACCGGCGGAAUGUAGCUUCGAUUUCGGUUGAAGUGUUAUAGCCUCUGGUAGAUGUGGUGAUUGAGACUGAGGAUUGCAACGAAUACCCUUUGGGCUAUCCGUCUGGCCUCUGAAAGUUGCUCAGAUGCCGAAAGCGUGCUUACGGUCAUCUAAGAUAACGUUCAACAGGUUAGAACGUGAUUACAUUCGUUAAGGAUGUUGACGUAAUGG
rnacentral:rRNA from 1 species